rnacentral:rRNA from 1 species
AUCGACCAUCUUCUCUCUGGUUGCGUGUUCUCCCGGAUCACCUGGCACGAAAUACUCUCUUGGUGCCGGCUCACCUCCCCUCCGAUGGAUGGCGCCACGAGCUUCUUCGCCUGGUGGUCACUGGCGGCCGAGACCUCCCCGAGCUACCUGCGUAAAGGCCUCAACUCCAAUGUCGCAUUGGCCGCCUGGGCCAUCUGAAAGCAUCGCAACGCGGUCAUCUUCGACAGCUUACAACCUUCCACCGACGAUCUGGUCCUAGCUAUCAAGGAAGACGCUCGCCUCUGGGCCAAGGCGGGUGCCAAGGGAUUAGCUAGCAUCAUACCUGUAACCUGA